CACGUAGGGGCCAAGCGUUGUCCGGAUUUAUUGGGCGUAAAGAGCUCGUAGGCGGUUCAGUCAGUUGGGUGUGAAAACUCCGGGCUUAACUCGGAGAGGCCACCCAAUACUGCUGUGACUUGAGUCCGGUGAGGGGAGUGGGGAAUUCCUGGUGUAGCGGUGAAAUGCGCAGAUAUCAGGAGGAACACCCGUGGCGAAAGCGGCUCUCUGGGACGGUACUGGACGCUGAGACGCGAAAGCGUGGGGAGCAAACAGG
rnacentral:rRNA from 1 species